UACGUAGGGGGCAAGCGUUGUCCGGAAUCAUUGGGCGUAAAGAGCGUGUAGGCGGCCAGAAAAGUCCGCUGUGAAAACUCGAGGCUCAACUUCGAGCUGUCGGUGGAAACUAUCUGGCUAGAGUCCGGAAGAGGAGAAUGGAAUUCCUGGUGUAGCGGUGAAAUGCGCAGAUAUCAGGAAGAACACCCGUGGCGAAGGCGGUUCUCUGGGACGGUACUGACGCUGAGACGCGAAAGCGUGGGGAGCGAACAGG
rnacentral:rRNA from 1 species